rnacentral:misc_RNA from 1 species
UUUCCGUAGGUGAACCUGCGGAAGGAUCAUUAAUGAAAUUCAAGGACGCUCUCUUUAGAGGUCCGACCAAAUUCAUUCCUUCACACUGUGCACAAACUACUUUUCUACACCAUUUUUAACACCUAAGUCUAAGAAUGUAAAUAGUCUCUUAAUUGAGCAUAAACAAAACAAAACUUUCAGCAACGGAUCUCUUGGCUCUCGCAUCGAUGAAGAACGCAGC